GCGAUGCCGUGUGUUGUCCCAAGUUUACCACCUGGAUGGAUGACCAAAAUAACGACUGUCUGCGGCAGCAUCCACAUGGCACUGGGCUCGACGAGAACAGCGAGUAAUGUGUUGACUUAGCGGAGCAGCAUUCAAAUGCCACUUUCACCCACCUACGUCGAGGAUCUCAGGUACUUUAUCCGAUUUUGAGAUAUAUUAAUUAGUAUUGAUUCAAGUUCAUCCCACGGUAGAGUGACCGAUGAAAACAGCGCUGGCGCAGCACAGCUCAUUGAUCAGACGAUGAACAUCAGAUGGCAGACUGCAGCUCCAGCUCGAAAACAUCAUCACUUCCGACCUGGUAAACCAAGUACCAAGCGGAUGCUGCCGCGGGCAGUCGUCAUUUUGGUCAUCCAUCCAGGUGGUAAACUUGGG
rnacentral:lncRNA from 1 species